GGUGAGCACGUCAGGGGUGGGGGGCGCAGGUCAAGCUUUCACCAGUUUUUAAUUCUUUGAUGGGGUAAAUUUGAGCAAUUUUCUCGACUUGUCGACAUUCGUUAUUAACUGAGCAGGAAUCAGGAGAGGAACCCGGUCCUCUCCACACAGCCCAGCAGAGAGCCUACGACUAGAUUUGCAUCUUUACGUCCUGCGCGGAGGCUGCUACACACAUGCAGAAGUCAUGCUGGUGGCCUGGACAGUGAAGGGAGAGAAGUGGAUUUGGGAGACAUUUAGGAGUGCUACUUUAGUCUCUGAGCUAAUUUUCAUGAAGCCAAUCUAAAAAUCAUGUUACUUCUAAAGAUGUGGAGCGAGUGAGAUGAACAGUUGUGCUGUCAUAUUGCCCCUCCCCAGUGCAGAUAGUGAAUGAGGACCCACUGAUUUAAAGGCAACACUGCAGCCCCUUCUUGCUUCAUUGAAGUCCCAAGUUUUAUUACAGUAAAAGCACUUAAUGUUGACAUUUCUGAAAGAAUGAAGAGGCCGGGCACGGCGGCUCACGCCGGUAAUCCCAGCACUUUGGGAGACUGAGGCAAGCGGAUCAUGAGGUCAGGACAU
rnacentral:lncRNA from 1 species